GAUGAACGCUGGCGGCAGGCUUAACACAUGCAAGUCGAGCGCCCCGCAAGGGGAGCGGCAGACGGGUGAGUAACGCGUGGGAAUCUACCCAUCUCUACGGAAUAACGCAUGGAAACGUGUGCUAAUACCGUAUACGUCCUUCGGGAGAAAGAGUUAUCGGAGAUGGAUGAGCCCGCGUUGGAUUAGCUAGUUGGUGGGGUAAAGGCCUACAAAGGCGACGAGCCAUAGCUGGUCUGAGAGGAUGAUCAGCCACACUGGGACUGAGACACGGCCCAGACUCCUACGGGAGGCAGCAGUGGGGAAUAUUGGACAAUGGGCGCAAGCCUGAUCCAGCCAUGCCGCGUGAGUGAUGAAGGCCCUAGGGUUGUAAAGCUCUUUCACCGGUGAAGAUAAUGACGGUAACCGGAGAAGAAGCCCCGGCUAACUUCGUGCCAGCCGCCGCCGUAA
rnacentral:rRNA from 1 species